AAUCAACGCUGGCGGCGUGCCUCAGACAUGCAAGUCGAACGAUUAAAGCUCUCUUCGGAGAGUGUAUAGAGUGGCGCACGGGUGAGUAACACGUAAGUAAUCUACCUUUGAGUGGGGAAUAACGUUCGGAAACGGACGCUAAUACCGCAUAAUGCAGCGGCAUCGCAAGAUGACAGUUGUUAAAGGAGCAAUCCGCUUAAAGAGGAGCUUGCGGCAGAUUAGCUUGUUGGUAAGGUAACGGCUUACCAAGGCUACGAUCUGUAUCCGGUCUAAGAGGACGGUCGGACACACUGACACUGAAUAACGGGUCAGACUCCUACGGGAGGCAGCAGUCGGGAAUUUUGGGCAAUGGGCGAAAGCCUGACCCAGCAACGCCGCGUGAAGGAUGAAGUAUUUCGGUAUGUAAACCUCUUUCAGCUCCGACGAAGCGAGAGUGACGGUAGGAGCAGAAGAAGCA
rnacentral:rRNA from 1 species